UCUCCUUUCAUUAGCCCUCCUCAGCUUUUUCUUUCUUGCCUCCAUCUCCAACACUAAUGCAGGUACAAUAACAGUCUACUGGGGCCAAAAUGGGAACGAGGGCAGCUUGGCUGAUACCUGCUCCUCAGGCUAUUAUGGAAUUGUCAAUAUUGCUUUCUUGGUUGUUUUUGGCAAUAACCAGACUCCGCAGCUGAAUCUAGCUGGCCAUUGUGACCCGACUUCUAGUGGUUGCACAUGGUUGAGUGAUGACAUUAAAGCAUGCCAGGAUCAAGGCAUCAAGGUGUUGCUUUCCAUCGGAGGUGCCUCGGGAAGCUAUACUUUGAUCUCUGCAGAGGAUGCCAGGUGAUUAUUCUUCAAAAAUAUAUAGACUAUGUUUGGUUCCUAAGAAAAAAAUACUGAAGAAAAGAUCAGUGCUGAUUCUAUUGUUGUGAUGCAGGGAAGUUGCAAAUUACCUAUGGAACAAUUUUUUCGGGGGCCAAUCAAGCUCACGACCGUUAGGAGAUGCUGUUCUAGAUGGGAUUGAUUUUGACAUUGAGGGAGGCACAACCCAGCACUGGGAUGAACUAGCCAAGGCCUUGUCGGAGUUCAGCGGGCAGAGGAAGGUGUACCUAUCAGCAGCUCCACAGUGCCCAUUUCCGGAUGCAUGGUUGGGCACUGCCAUUGCCACAGGUCUAUUCGACUAUGUUUGGGUCCAAUUCUACAACAAUCCCCCCUGCCAAUACUCCGGCAACGCUGACAACCUUAUCAACUCCUGGAACCAAUGGACCACGAUUGAAGCUGGUCAAGUAUUUUUGGGGUUGCCUGCAGCCUCAGCAGCAGCCGGAUCUGGCUACAUCGAACCGGACGUGCUCGUCUCCCAGGUCCUGCCGUCCAUCAAGACUUCCCCCAAGUAUGGAGGUGUGAUGCUUUGGUCUAGAUAUUAUGAUAAUGGCUAUAGUGCAGCCAUUCUGUCCAGUGUUUGAAGUCUUGUCUUCCUAUAUAUGUCUACUUCUAAUAUGGUCACAUAAAUGAGCUUUGAUACUUUCUGAAACUUGAAUGAAAUAUAAAUUUUCUGCUGUGAUGAUUAAUACAAAUAUAUAUAUAGAUGGCACAAUAUCUUUCAAAGGCUCUCUCUAAAAGCCUCUGCUUACCAAGCAGCCCAUUUGCCUCAACCAUGUACUCCCAACUCUACUUUGCAAUUCCCUUGCUGAUCUUGCAGUUUAUCAAUCUCAUCACAUUUAAAUUUUUUUAAAUGAAAAUAUUAUCGUAGAACCCUAUUGAAAUAUAUGGUCAAUACAAAAAUCAUAGGCAUAGGAGAAAGGCCACAUUAAUGAGUCACGGCUCAUGAAUGCCAAUCCAGUUAGCUUUCCAUAGCUUUCCAUUUCGGGUAGUUGGAUGUCCAGGGUGCCAAUCAAGUUAGGCAGAUGUUUCCAUUUCCAGAUCAUUUUUAACAGAAGCAAAGUUUGGCAUAAGAAAAUAGUGAAAUAUGGGCUAUGAAAUGGGCAUAUUCCUACAUCCAACAGAUUCAUUAAACCACCAACCAAACAAUAAUCAAUGGCUCUCCAUAGCUUUCCAUUUCGGGUAAUUGGAUUUCUAGGGUGCCAAUCCAGUUAGGCAGAUGUUUCCAUUUCCAUAUUAUUUUUAACAGAAGCAAAGUUUGGCAUAAGAAAAUAGCUGGAUUAUUAAGGAUAUGUUUGGCAACUGCUUUUGAAAAACAGAUUUUUUGGAAACCCAAAAUGUUUUUAAUAGUUUUAAAAAUAAUUUUUAUAUUUAGUAUUUUAUUUUUAAUCAUUUUAUAUAUUUGUAUAAUUAUUUUUUAAAAUAACUCUUAUAAAACAAAUGAAAACAGUAAAAAACAACUAAAAAAUAUUCUUCAAAAAUACAAUUUUUUUGUUCUUAAGAACAUAAAUAGAAAAUAAUUUUUUAUUGUCAAACAUGUUUUCUAGCCUUUUUUUGUUUUGGAGAACGAAAAAUUGUUCUAAAAAACAAUUGUUGAAUAGACCUUAAGGCUUUGUUUAAGAUGUGUUUUCAAAAAUAGUUUUUGAAAAUUGUUCUCUAAUAUUUUUUAACAUGUUUUUUUUAACCUUUUUUAAUAUAUUUUAAAAAUAAUUUUUAAAUGUGAUGCUUUAUUUUUUUUUAUCAUUCUCUAUAUUUAUAUUAUUAUUUUUUUAAACAGUCUUCAUAAAAUAGAUGAAAAUAAAUGAAAUAAAUAAAAGAUGCAUGUUUUCCAAAAUUUCUUUUUUUUUUUUUCAAUUUUAAGAAAGAAAACUAUUUUCUAUUUUCUAUUUUCUAAUUACUAAAUAUGUUUUUUAUUUUUAUUUUUUAUCUUAGAGAACAAAAAAUUGUUUUUAAAAACAAAUACCAAACCCGAGUUAAUAAUUUUGAAGAAUUAUCCCAAAAAACAAAGAACAAGACAAACUUAAACUUGUAUGACAUAUCCAUCUUCAUGUGAAAGAAAAAUAAAACUAAAAACUAUUCAAAAACGUUAAAUGAAUACUAGAAACAUGUUUUCAAAUCCUUCUCAAUAAGAAUAACUUUUUAAAUUAGAACAAUUUUCAAAUCCUUGUCCAUAUCACAUAGAUGAAUAAAAAUUCUAAGAUGCUUCGAAAGAUGUUUCAUACAAAUAUUCUAAAAUAUCAUAUUGUAUUAUUAGUCAUUAUGAUAUACUCUAUCUACCUAUAAACUCCUUUAAAAACUUAAAUUAAAAUAAUCAUUAUUUUAAAAACGAUCAAUUGAGCUUAACAAAACCUAACCUCUAAUCCAAGGUACUCAACUCAAUUCCAACUCAACUUUAUUCCUCUAAACUCGAGUUGAGUUCAGAUUAUUCAUGUUAGACUCAGAUUUAUAGAGUUAAACUUAAGUCAAUUGGAUUAAGUUCAAGUUGAUUAAAUUACAUAAUUUAAAAUAUAUCUAUCCAACCCUCCAUCUAAUCUAUUGAAAUAUGUGAUAAAAUUUAAAUACUUAAUGGAAAUCCAAAUAAAUAUGACUAAAAUAUAAUGAUACAAAUGAAUGAAACUUAAGUAAAAAAUAAUUAGAUCGAAAUAUUUAUACGGAUAUUUACAAUUUGAUAAUGACUUUCUAUAAGAAAAGCCUCAUUGAUGAGUCAUGGUUCAUGAAUGCCAAUCCAUUUAGACAGAACUACUUUUGUCUAUUUCCAAACCAUUUUUAAUAAAGUCAAUAUUGAUAUAGUAAAUAGUUUGCCACGUUUUAUUUGAUUCUAUUUAAUAAUUGUAUUAUCAAUAGUGUAAUUGGAUGUACGAUGUGUCAACCCAAUUAGGCAGAUGUCCAUUUCCAAAUUUAUUUUCAACAUAAGCCACAUGCCCCGUUUGACGUAGGAAAAUGCCUUGUUGACACGUUUUUUUUUUUAAAAUUAUAUUACAUCAAUGCAGUAAGUUUGUAUUAUUGCUUUCAAGUGAAGGUGAAAUAAUUUUACAUUACAGAAAUUAUAGUGAUUUUAGAAAGUGUUUUUAAUAUUUUAAUACUUAAAAGAUAAAAAAUUUAAAAUGUUAAAAAUACUAAAAUUGCUUUCAAAAAUCACUAUCAAAUACAUUCUAAAAUUUCUUUGACGAACGAUUUUGAGGGAAUAAAAUACUCUUUUAACAUAGAAAGUUGUUUAUUAUAAAAAUUAAAGUAUUUAAUAAAAAAUUUAAAAUAAUUUUAAAACAUUUAUUUAUUUUUUGUAUAAAAUAUAAUGACUCUUAUGAGUUUUCAUUGAAAAAGUAAUAAUUUUAAAAACUAUUUAAUAUUAAAAAAAUAUCUUUUUUAUUCCUUUCACUUUGAUUAUAGUCCAAUAAAAAAUAAUGAAAGUAUUUUCUUUAUUUUAAAGUCAACAAAUGAUUUAGAAUGGUCUAUUCUCAAAUAACUAAAUAAAAAACACAUGUAGUUUUUUUUUGUGAUUUCUCAAAUUUGUCGGAAGAUUUUGUGAAACAUUUUCUUCUGUGUGGAGUCAUUUUGUCAAUCUCCAUCAUUGAAAGAAUUUACCAUUAUUUAUAGGCAAAAUUAGCCAAUUAAAUUUGGAAUAUUCAAGAUUUAAUUGCUUAAUUAGAGAAUUUCGUUCUUUAAUUUUAGCAACUUGUUUUCUUUCUUUAGGAAAUUUCUAAAGAAAAUAUUUAUUUUUAAUUCUCUUCUUACUUCAAUUAAAAAAUUAGUCUCCUUUGUUUAGGAAAAUAUUUAUUUCUAAUUCUCCUUGACUUUGAUUUUAUUUUGUCCGACUUAAUUUUGUAGUCAUCCAAAUUUAAUUUGUUUGGUAAAAUAACUUAAUGAUAUGAAUUAAAGUUAACAACAACUUUAAGUAAUAAGUAAAAACAAUUAACUUAUUUUAAGUUCAUAUUUUCAUUUUUACCUUUUUACUCAUAUUUGUCCUAUUACUCCUAUGAUCUUUUUUUACUGUUCCACGACGUCCAUUAUUACUUGAUAUAUUUUGUCCUAAUUAUAAUUUAUGAGAAUAAAUAUAUCAAUUUGAUGAUUUAGAAUAAAUUUUAAGUUAAUUUUAUCAAACAAUCUUAAUACUUAAAGUAAGAAUUAAAUAAUAAAUUUUAAGUUAACAAUUUAAAUAUAAUUUAACUUAAAAUCAACUUAAGUUAUUAAGUAAUGAAUAUUAAGUUUUACCAAACAACUUUGUUGUUUGUUUGAAAAUAGAUUAUGUUUUUUAUUUUUAAAAAUGAAAAAUAGUGGUAAGUUGUAUAUAUCAUGUAUAUAAUAACUUUUAUUUAUAGAAUUAAAAAAAAUUUAUAUUUUUAAAAUUUGUAAAAAUAAAAAUAUUUUAGUAUUUCAAUUUUUUUUAGAACAUUUUUCAAAAGCCAUUAUGUUUUUUUUUCUUCUUUUUAAGAUAAGUAUAAAGGACUUUUUGUAUUUAAAAUAAGAAAUCAAAAUGCCAACAUGGAAAAAGAGAAAAGAUACAUGCAUGAACGUUUUAAUUGAGGGAGGCAUCCGACCCUCUUCAAAUAGUUUUUAGAAGAGAUUAUGACUUAAUAUGCUAAUUGAGUUCAAAUUCUAUAAGUUUAAAUUUUUAAGAAAAUUGAUAAGUUUUUUUAUUUAUUUAUUUUUUUAUUAUGAAAGUAUUAAUAAUUCAAAUUUUAUAUAGUCUAUUUUUUUGUAAUUUUAAAAAGCACUUUUAAUAAAAAAAAAUUUAAGAAAAAUAAGAUAUUUUGAAAAAUUUAGGAAAAGCUUUUAUAAAGUUUAAAAAUCACUUCUAAAACUUAUUAGAGAAGCAUUUGAAAGAAGAUUCUAACCAAAACACUACCCUUCAAACCAUCCUUAUCUCCUGCACUCCACUUUUAAGAUAAGAAAUCAAAAUGUGGACAUGGAAAAGGUGAAAAGAUGCAUGCAUGAUCCAUGAACGUGUUAAAUGAGGCAUCCCGGCCCUCUGCAAAAAUGUGAAAUAUGGGCUAUAAAUAGGGCAUAUUCCUACAUCCAACAGAUUCAUUAAACCACCAACCAAACAAUAAUCAAUGGCUCUCCAUAGCUUUGCAGCAGUAGUAGUAGUAACGCUAGUCUCUUGCCUGCUGGCUCCUCCUGCAGUCGAGGCCUCAUCAGUCAAUAUCUCUACUUACUGGGGCACUGAUGCAAGAGAAGGUAGCGUGGAAGAUGACUGUAACGCCUCCUUGUAUAGUAUCUUCAACAUCGGUUUCGUAGACAGAUUUGGAUAUGACUGGCCUCCAAGACUCAACAUCCACCACUGUAACGCAUCAGUACAGGGGUGCAAGUACCUGGGCACUGAAAUAAAAGUUUGCCAAGAAAGGGGGGUUAAAGUGCUCAUCUCUAUUGGAGGCCCGGGUGGAGACUACAACCUCGCCUCUUCAGAUGAUGCUACGUAAGUUAGUUGCUAAAACUGAUGAUGAUGAUGAUUUAACAGAAAAUAAAAUCGUUUUAAAAAACAGUUGCCAAACAGGGCUAAGCUAAUUAGGUGCCUUAUUGAUUGAUUUUCACUUCAUUUUAAUUUGUAGGGAGCUCGCAAACUACUUGUGGAACGCCUAUCUUGGUGGCAACCAAUCGACUGUUGAUCGUCCGUUUGAGGAUGCAAUUCUGGAUGGAGUUGACUUCUUCAUUCAGGCAGGCAGUACCCUGUAUUGGGAUGUGCUUGCUGAGGCCCUUAGAAACCUCAGCAAUAAUGGAACCCAGAUGGAAUUAAGUGCCACUCCCAAAUGCAAAUACCCAGACGAAUACCUCGGCGCUGCAAUUCAAACCGGGCUCUUUGAUUAUGCUCAGGUGCGAUUCUAUGAUGAAGAUGGCUGCCAGUAUAAUGGCAGCUUCGACGGCAUGAAGAGUGCGUGGGAUGAAUGGACAGCUGAGGCUAAUGUGGAUAAAAUAUUUGCGGGAGUGACUGCAUCUGAAUCUGAUCAAGGUUACGUUGAUGCAGAUGAUCUGGCCUCUGAGUUCCUACCAGAUGCUGAGCAGUCCCCAAAGUUUGGAGGUCUGAUGGUGUGGUAUCUCUACACUGACCAUCAGUCCGGUUACAGCGCAAGGAUCAAAGCUUUGAAUCCUACAAUUCAAACUGCUCCUUCAGGAGUUGAAGUUGAAUAAGCAGAUCUGUAUGAAUGGCGGCUGAUCAUCCCAUGAUCAGUAAGCUUAAGUACGUACUUUGAAAUAGUAUUGUAACGCCUGCUGUUUGCUUUUCAUUCAAUAAAUUUGGCCUCUCAUGCAUAUUUCCUCACAGAGACACAUGUGAUCUGGGGGGUAAAUAUAUAGGUAUGAAGCCAAAACAAGCUUGUACCUAGUCUGAUGUAUCCCUGUUAAUGAAGUUGUGUGGUUUGUGUGAUAAAAUUACCUUUAGCCUGCCUGUUGGUAUCUUCCAUUUACAAAUGCAAAUGACACUUGAUCUACAUUAUUACUUAUAUAAUUUAUUUAUUUACUUACUCUUCUAUUUUCAUAUUUCUUUAAUAUAUAUUAUUUCUUUUUUAUAAAUAAAAAAAUUACUUAGUAUACAUGCUUCCGGUAUUUCUUUAUUCUUUUAUUAUAUUGUUCUUUUUUACCAAAAAAAAAAAUUAUUUAUUUACUUGAUCUUCUAAUUUCAAAACCUUUUCGUCCUUUUUUUUUUUUAAUAUAUAUUCUUUUUUAUAAAGAAACUUGAAUUAUUUAUUCACUAAAUUAUUCAUCUAUUAAAUUAUUAUUAUUAUUAUAUUUCUUCAAUUAUAAAAGGCAUAAAUCCUAACUCUCAUAGUUAAUAGUGGUUACUCAGGGCUUUAUUUCUAGGGUUAUUUUUUUGGAAGAAACAAAUGGAGGCGUUAGGGUUUGUUUUUGCUACAUACAAUAUUUUUCUAUUUAUACUAAACCUUUAUUUACGUAAUUUUCUAUAUUUAUUUAUUAUUUUAUUUAUUUCUCUAUUAUUGCUAGAUGUUAUAUUUAUAAAAAUUUAAAUUAUUUAAUUACUCAAUAUUUUUUAUAUUUAUUUUUUGAUAUAUAUUAUUCUUGUUUUAGAAAAAAAAAAUUAACUAACUUUUUAUUUACUUAAUUUCAAGUUUUGAUAUUUCUUAAAAUCUUUUUUAUUUCAUAUUUUAAUAAAUGAUUAUUUUUUAUAACAUAAAAUAAAAUAAUUCCAAAUUGAUUAAGUCAUUCAAAUAAAAUAAAAAUAAAAAAAGGUAAAUAUUGUUAAGUAACAACAUAUCAUAAAAAUUUAAAAUAUUUUACUUCUUGGAAAUGUUAAAAGUAAAUUAUUGAUUUUUUUUCUUUAUUUUUUAAUACAUAAUACAAAUAAAAUAUUUAAAAAAAUGAAGAAUUUAACACUUAACACUAUUAAUAUUAUUCAAUUUUAAAUUCUAUUUAAAAUUAAGAAAAAAAAAAACAUCGCCUUACUAUAGAAUUAAAUUAGAUAAUCUAAUAUAAAUUAUUUAUAUUUAAAAAAAAUUAUUUUAUAUUUAAUAAUACCAAAACAACUCUCACUUGUGCUUUUACAUCUCUUCCUCAACUUCAAAGAUAAUAAUGAAACAUAUUUUUCUUUAAGUACUCAACCCAAUUUAUCCUAAUAGAACAAAACAGAUUUAGAAAAAUCCUAAACCGGUUAGAAACGGGUUUAAGAAGAUAUUGGUUAUAGUAUUACCUCAUCCCAGCUCUAUGUCUUUAUCAUUUAUAUGUAUAAUUAAAUAAAAAUAAUAGUUCAUUUUUAUUUUUUAUUUAAAAAAAAUUAAAUAUGGGAUGACAUACCCAAGUUGCCACCUCAAUUGGGCGAAGCUAACCAUCAUCCUCAACCCACGCACAAUAUCACAAUUAAUUAUAUAUGCAUGCCACCAUAAUGAUGAUUGAAAGGUAGGAUCACACCCCCCCUUUUUUUUUUUUUAAUUUUAUUAAAUUAUGAUUUUAAAAAAAAUGUAUAGAUGUCUCAAUGUUUUAGAGGUGAAAUAUUUAGAAAAGUUUUUUAAAUAUUAAAAAAUGUAUUUCAAAAUCAAAUAUCAAGAUAUAAAUUUCAAAGUAGGUUGUAUUGAAUUUAAAAAAUAAUAAUGUCAACUCAAUUUUAAUAGAAAUCUUUUUAAAAUACAAUCCCAAAUAGUAAUUAUUUUUAUUUCUAUUUUUAUUUUCUGUUAAAUAGAUUUAGCAAAUGAUAUGUGUUUAUAUUUGAAUUUGACAUAUGAAUUCUUUAUAAAAAUUGAACCACAUAAUCACCAAAUCUUAACUUGAACUUUCCUUAAAGUUCAAACCUCCUUAUUAUUUUUUUUGUGAAAAAUACGUUUUAUAUCAAAUAAAUUUAUUAAAAAUAGAAUUCUUUUUUUCAUUUGAAUUUUGAGAAUCUCCAAUGUCUAUAAGUUUGAAAUUCAAAAAAUAAUUAUUUAUGCUUUUGAAAAAGAGUUAUUUGUAAAGAUUUAAUUGGCAAAGUUUCCAAAUUAUUCUAUAGAACUUUACAUUGAAGAGGUAUAUCUUGUGUUUUUGAAUUUAUUAAUUAUUUUUUAAAAUAAAAUAAUAUAUAAAAAUGGAAAUAUACGAACUCAUUCUCAUUGAAGAUAUUAUAUAUACUAUUAAGAAAGAUUCUAUGUUCUUCUCUAUGAAAGAACCCAUAAACACACCAUAACAUAAUGUUUGCAAAAAUUACAAAGGAGGAGGAGGAGAAAGAGAAAUUACAAAGGAGGAGGAGGAGAAAGAGAUAUAAACAAAUAAAAAAGAAUAAUAGCUUCACGCAAAUUUUGGAGAAAUCCAAAGUAGAGGUUGUGGGGAAUGUGGGAAAAGCAGUGUAACAGUCCUAUCACUUAGACUGAAAACAUACAUACUUCCAUCAGCAUUUGAAAAAAAACUACAACGUUGGCAGAAGUAUAUAGAAUUUGGCCGGCAUCCCGCAAAAUCAGAAGCUAUGACAGAAAUUGAAUGAUUGUCUCCCAAAAACAAGGCAACAUCGCCCAAACUCAUAACCUCUUCCCAUCUUGGAUUCUUUGAAAAUCAUUGUAACUUAUAAAUCACAAAUCCGGCCCCCUUCAUGCUUUGUAACCUGCAAGAGAUCUCCUUCAGGAGAUUCCACUGGAUUCUUUGAAAACCAUUGUAACUUAUAAAUCACAAAUCCCCUUUCAUGCUUUAUAACCCGCAAGAGAUCUCCUUCAGGAGAUUCCACCAAAUAUGAGUCAAGAGCACAAUGAAUAUCGGGUGAAGUAAUCCUUCUCACUUUAAAAUCAUUACUCACAUCACAAGAGAAGAGCACACCCCGUCCGUCUAAUACAUAGAAUAACCCAUUGCUGUAAACAAUGUCUUUCACAUCCCGCAACCCUUCAAUAUAAGUCCAGUCUUCUUCUCCUGAUUUAAUGAAUGCUAAUCUUACUACCAAACUACCACACGUCAUAUGAGUACAAACUCGUCCCCAUUCACAUCAGGAUCAAUAGACAAUACACCCCUCCUCGGGUUAUAAGGGAAGAUAGUUCUGUACACACUGCCUGAAAGUUCACGGAAUGAUGAUUUUUCGAGGGGAGGAAGAUGAAUGAGUUUUCCAGAGAAUGGGUUGUGGAGGGUUACCUUAUAAGAAUCAUUAUUUACCAGAAUCAACCAGCCAUGAGAAGACCCUCCACACCUCCAUCGCCCCUGCCUCAACUGAACCUCCCAAAGGCUUUUUCCGUUCAUGACGUCAUAUAAACAGCACCUUUCUCUGGAAUUAUCUGCGGUGGGAGCCAUUAACAAUGGGACUUGUUGGUGCAGACGACAAUGGCGUUUAUGGUUAGAGCGUAAAUGUUGAAGUUUUUCGCGAACUGCAUACUGCCAUUGAAUGCAAACCUCACCGAAUGUGAAGUAGUCCUCCAUGGGCACUAAGUAAUCUAAGAUCGAACCGAGAAGAUUUAUACAGAGUGAUGCCCAAUCUGAACUUGAGGGCAAAGCCAUUCUUCUGAUUGUGAUCGAGAAGAGGAAGAAGAUGAUGAAAAAUUAGGGUUUAACAGAUUAGGGUUUAACGUAUAUAAAAAAAAAUAAAGGGUGGGUGCAUGUAUAUAUAUAGGACUGAGUACAAAUUUGGAAACCUAAUUUCAAUCCAAAUAUAACUCUAUAGAUUUAUAGAAUUUAAUAAUAAAAUUUAAUCGCAUUAUAAAAUAUUUUAGUUAAUUUAAUUUAUAUCUAUAUCUAUAAAUUAAGUAGACUUAUUUUUUUUUAAAUAAUUUAAAUAUUAAAAUUUUCUUUUUAUUUUCUUAAAUCGCAUUAUAAAAUUUUCUUAAAUAGCUCAUCAUGCAUUAUAAAAUAAUCUUUUUAUUUUUUUUCCAUAUUUUUAUUCUUUUGUUUCCAUAUAUUGUUCAUGUCUUAUUCAUUACUUGAACUUUUAAACCUUCUAUUUUCAUAUUUCUUUAAUAUAUACUAUUUCUUUUUAUAAAAAAAAAAAAAAUUUACUUAGUAAACAUGCUUUCGGUAUUUCUUUAUUCUUUCAUGUAUAUUAUAUAUAUAUAUAUAUAUAUAUAUAUAUAUAUAUAUAUUUUAACUUGAUUUUCUAUUUUCAAAAUCUAUCGUCCAUAUUUUUUAAAUAUAUGUUAUUUUUUAUAAAAAAAAACUUGAAUUAUUUAUUGACUAAAUUAUUCAUCUAUUAAAUAAUUUUAUUAUUAUUAUUAUUAUUAUUAUUAUUAUUAUUAUUAUUAUUAUUAUUCUAAUUAAAUUAAAAAAAGGCAUAAAUUCUAUAUCUCAUAGUUAAUCACGGUAGAAUAUUUUUAUUUUCUUUUUGUUCAAAUUUGAAAUCUAUUAAUCAGUAUAAUUAAUUGAUUCCUACCUAGGGCAUUAUUUCUAGAGUUAUUUCUUCCAAGAAACAAAUGGAAGGGUUAGGGCUUGUUUUUGCUACAUUCUUAUUUUUCUAUUUGCACUAAACUUUUAUUUGCUUAAUUUUCUAUAUUUAUUUAUUAUUGUAUUUAUUCCUUUAUUAUUGCUAGAUAUUAUAUUUAUAAAAAUUUAAAUUAUUUAUUUACUCAAUAAGUUUUAUAAACAGAAAUAUUAAUGUGAACAUGGCAAAAGAGAAAAGAUUCAUGCAGAAUCGUAUUAAAGGAGACGUUCCCUCUCCAAAGUAUCGUACGAUCCUCAAUAAUAAUAAAAGUGUUGGUGCAUAUAACACGUACCAAUUAUUAUCAAAAGAUGCAUGCAUGAACGUGUUAAAUGAGGCAUCCCUUAUGCAAAUCAAGUGGUUUCUUGACAUUAAAUUCAUACCCGAAAGUCUAUAACAAGUUUCUUGCAAUCUUCUUCCACAAACGUGUAGAUUUGACAAACAUUUUGAUACAUAUAGUCCAACAUAUGUACCUAUAAAUUUCCAUACCUUCCUCUCAAUUUUUCAUCCAAGCAACAAAGCUCAAUGGCACACCGCUCUCUCCUUUCAUUGGCCCUCCUCAGCUUUUUCUUUCUUGCCUUGAUCUCCAACACUAAUGCAGGUACAAUAACAGUCUACUGGGGCCAAAAUGGGAACGAGGGCAGCUUGGCUGAUACCUGCUCCUCGGGCUAUUAUGGAAUUGUCAAUAUUGCUUUCUUGGUUGUUUUUGGCAAUAACCAGACUCCGCAGAUGAAUCUAGCUGGCCAUUGAGACCCGAACUCUGGUGGUUGAUCAUGGUUGAGUACUGGCAUUAAAGCAUGCCAGGAUCAAGGCAUCAAGGUGUUGCGAGGUGCCUCGGGAAGCUAUACCUUGACCUCUGUAGAGGAUGCCAGGUGAUUAUUCUUCUCAAAUACGUAGACUAUGUUUGGUUCCUAAGAAAAAAAUACUAAAUAAAAUGAUAUUCGAUUUCCACCCAUUUUUCUUUCUUUCUAUUUUUUCUCUUUAUUUUCUCUCCCUCUCAUUUUCCCUCAAACUUUCGGGGACCCAAUCAUAGCCAUAGCCAUAGCGUCUAAUCCUUGUGGGAUCAAUGCUGAUUUUGUUGUUGUGAUGCAGGCAAGUUGCAAAUUACCUAUGGAACAAUUUUCUUGGGGGCCAAUCAAGCUCACGACCAUUAGGAGAUGCUGUUUUAGAUGGGAUUGAUUUUGACAUUCAGGGAGGCACAACCCAGCACUGGGAUGAACUAGCCAAGACCUUGUCGGAGUUCAGCGGGCAGAGGAAGGUGUACCUAUCAGCAGCUCCACAGUGCCCAUUUCCGGAUGCAUGGAUGGGCACUGCCAUUGCCACAGGCCUAUUCGACUAUGUUUGGGUCCAAUUCUACAACAAUCCCCCCUGUCAAUACUCCGGCAACGCCGACAACUUAAUCAACUCCUGGAACCAAUGGACCACGAUUGAAGCUGGUCAAGUAUUUUUGGGAUUGCCGGCAGCCCCAGCAGCAGCUGGGUCUGGCUACAUCGAACAGGACGUGCUCGUCUCCCAGGUCCUGCCGUCCAUCAAGACUUCCCCCAAGUAUGGAGGUGUCAUGCUUUGGUCUAGAUAUUAU
rnacentral:lncRNA from 1 species